AUUAAAAAAAAGAUGACACAAAUGGAAAUUCAAAUAAUUUUGCUCGUUGUUUUUACAAUACUCCCAUGUUUUUUUGUGCAGCAGCUGCUUC
rnacentral:ribozyme from 14 species